rnacentral:rRNA from 1 species
UACGGGGGGGGCAAGCGUUGUUCGGAAUUACUGGGCGUAAAGGGCUCGUAGGCGGCCAACUAAGUCAGACGUGAAAUCUCCCGGCUCAACUGGGAGGGGUCAUUCGAUACUGGCGGGCUCGAGGCCGGUAGGGGGAAGCGGAAUUCCCGGUGUAGUGGUGGAAUGCGUAGAUAUCGGGAGGAACACCAGUGGCGAAGGCGGCUUCCUGGACCGGUUCUGACACUGAGGAGCGAAAGCGUGGGGAGCGAUCCGG